GAAGAGGGUUCCGGUGGUGCCCUGGCGGCCAUCGCUGGAGGCCGCGGUUGCUAUGGGAGACCUGGCGCCCGGCCUGGGAGCGACAGGAAGGCGAGCUGUGGCCGCGACGCCUUCCGAGAAAGCAGGUCGCUCUCGGAACGGACGUUUGUGUGUGGUUUCUGUGGAAGAUCCGCUCCGCGGCGGCGUGGGAGGAGCAGGGCCUGGAGGGGUUGCGGCCAAACGCGGGCUUCGGUGUUGGGACACGGACAACGCUGGCGUCCGGGCGCUGCUGGGCAGCGGGGUCCGGGGAUGACGUCUGGGGCUGCCCGUGCCCACUUUUCCAGAUUGCUCUGAAUGUCCUAGUGAGCUGCUCCCGUUGGGUAGGCUCCUGCGCCUCAACCGCGCUCGGUACUCGACGUUUAUUAUCAGGGAAUUCUCGGCUGCAAGAUGGGAAUUCCACCCCCACCCCAUUUUGCAGAGGAGGAAACUGAAACCGUCCUUUUGUCAGAUGAAAUGCAAUGUUCAUUCCAGGAAAAUAGGGACUCAAGGCCGGUGCGGUGGCUCACCCCUCUAAUCCCAGCACUUUGGGGGACAGAGACCGGAAGAGCGAUUAAGCCCAGGAGUUCGAGACCAGCCUGGGCAACAAAGUGAGAUCCCCGUCUCUACAAAAAUAAAAAUUAAAAAAGUAGCCGGGCGUGGUGGCGCGCACCUGCAGUUCCAGCUACUCAGGAAGCUGAGGCGGAGGAGUGCUUGAGCCCAGGAGGUG
rnacentral:lncRNA from 1 species